ACGAACCGUCCAAACGUUAUUCGGAAUUAUUGGGCUUAAAGGGUGCGUAGGCUGUGCAGUAAGUUGGGUGUGAAAUCCCUCGGCUCAACCGAGGAACUGCGCCGAAUACUGCUGUGCUAGAGGAAGAUAGGGGUAAGCGGAACUGAUGGUGGAGCGGUGAAAUGCGUUGAUAUCAUCAGGAACACCGGUGGCGAAGGCGGCUUACUGGAUCUUUUCUGACGCUGAUGCACGAAAGCUAGGGGAGCGAACGGGA
rnacentral:rRNA from 1 species